UCCAAGUUCAGCUUAUCAGGUAAACAUUCCAAACUCCACUUCUAUGGUUAGGUAAAUUGCUCAGCUAUUAGUAUUAUUCAAUACAGACACCAAAACAUAUUACACAGUUUAGAUGGACGGAUAGAAAGCGUGAACAUCAAAAGCCAUCGUGUGUGUUACCCAGUUUCCAUUCUGCAUCUAACAAUAGGAACCAAGCAUCCAACAUCAUGACUUUAUUAUUAUAUAGUCCAGACAAUGAAUGCUCAAAAGAGGGUAUAGAGAGAAAAGUUUGGAAGACUAUAUUUGACCCCGCAAUUUUGUUUUGGGUAUUAAGG